AGGACGAACGCUGGCGGCGUGCUUAACACAUGCAAGUCGAGCGGGGAUAUUGAGGAAGCUUGCUUCUGAGAUAUUCUAGCGGCGGACGGGUGAGUAACGCGUGAGCAACCUUUCUCUCAGUGGGGGAAUAACACAGGGAAACUUGUACUAAUACCGCAUGAUACAGUUAGGAAAGGAGCAAUCCGCUGAUAGAUGGGCUUGCGUCUGAUUAGCUAGUUGGUGGGGUAACGGCCUACCAAGGCGACGAUCAGUAGCCGAGCUGAGAGGCUCAACGGCCACAUUGGGACUGAGAUACGGCCCAGACUCCUACGGGAGGCAGCAGUGGGGAAUAUUGGGCAAUGGGCGAAAGCCUGACCCAGCGACGCCGCGUGAGGGAAGAAGGUCUUCGGAUUGUAAACCUUUGUUGACAGGGACGAAACAAAUGACGGUACCUGUCGAGGAAGCCACGGCUAACUACGUG
rnacentral:rRNA from 1 species